ACAGAAACAUUCUUAUUUUUUUGGUCAGAAACAUUAUUUUUUUGUCAGGAAGAUUUUCUAUUUUUUUGUCAGGAACAUUAUUUUAUACUCUUUUGUCAGGAACACUAUUUUAUAUUCCUUUUCAGGAACGUUAUUUUAUAAUUUUUUUUUUUUUUGUCAGAAACAGCAUUUUAUAAUUUUUUUGGUCAAGAAUACUAUCUUGUAUUUUUUGUCAGGAACAUUUAUUUUCUAUUAGUUUUUACCUGCUCAGUGUUUCUGCUUGAGAAUGAGACAUCAAAGGUAGUGUGCAAAGAAAAAAAUCACAGCAUGGAUGGGGCUGGAAGUGGAAUUUGAGGUGGCAUUUAAAAAAAAAGGAAAACCAAAGGUAUUUUAUAAAGAAAUUAAUGAGGUAAAUCACAGAAUAGUUGGGGCUGGAAGUGGAAUCUGAGGUGGUGUUAAAAAAAAUGGAAAACUAAAGGUUUUGCAAAGAGAUGAAUGAGGUAAAUCACAGAAUGGUUGAGGUUGGAAGUGGAAUCUGAGGUGGUGUUUAUAAAAAAAAAAAAACCAGAAAACUAAAGGUGUUGUGCAAAGAAAUUCAUGAGGUAAAUCACAGAAUAGUUGGGGCUGGAAGUGGAAUCUGAGGUGGUGUUUAAAAAAAAAAAGGAAAACUAAAGGUGUUUUGCAAAGAGAUGAACGAGGUAAAUCACAGAAUGGUUGAGGUUGGAAGUGGAAUCUGAGGUGGUGUUUAAAAAAAAAACGAGAAAACUAAAGGUGUUAUGCAAA